rnacentral:rRNA from 1 species
UACGCAGGGUGCAAGCGUUGUCCGGAAUUAUUGGGCGUAAAGAGCUCGUAGGCGGUUUGUCGCGGCUGCUGUGAAAGGUCGGGGCCCAACCCCGGAACUGCAGUGGGGACGGGCAGACUAGAGUGCGGUAGAGGAGACUGGAAUUCCUGGUGUAGCGGGGGAAUGCGCAGAUAUCAGGAGGAACACCAGUGGCGAAGGCGGGUCACUGGGCCGCAACUGACGCUGAGGAGCGAAAGCGUAGGGAGCGAGCAGG